rnacentral:rRNA from 1 species
AGUGAACGCUGGCGGUAGGCCUAACACAUGCAAGUCGAACGGCAGCACAGUAAGAGCUUGCUCUUACGGGUGGCGAGUGGCGGACGGGUGAGGAAUACAUCGGAAUCUACUUUUUCGUGGGGGAUAACGUAGGGAAACUUACGCUAAUCCCGCAUACGACCUACGGGUGAAACCAGGGGAUCUUCGGACCUUGCGCGAUUGAAUGAGCCGAUGUCGGAUUAGCUAGUUGGCGGGGUAAAGGCCCACCAAGGCGACGAUCCGUAGCUGGUCUGAGAGGAUGAUCAGCCACACUGGAACUGAGACACGGUCCAGACUCCUACGGGAGGAAGCAGUGGGGAAUAUUGGACAAUGGGCGCAAGCCUGAUCCAGCCAUACCGCGUGGGUGAAGAAGGCCUUCGGGUUGUAAAGCCCUUUUGUUGGGAAAGAAAAGCAGCAGGUUAAUACCCCGCUGUUCUGACGGUACCCAAAGAAUAAGCAACGGCUAACUUCGUG